CACUGCCGUUAUAUCGUACAGUUAGAUCACGCGGCACAGUAUUGCAGAUCAUAUUGUUCGUGUGCGCGCGUUUUUCAGUCGUUGCACAAAGAAAAUAUUCAACCAAGAUUACAUAUGAAGACUACAUUCUAUGACAGGUGCGUUGACCUAUACACAUCGUGUCGUUAUUACAGUUCAUAUUCAUCCGCUGCACAAUAAUUUUUUUACAGAUCAGACGUGACCCGUCGAGUAAUUGGUCCACGUGCAGUUCGUUUUUUACAUUCCGUGGAAGCUUGGCUGCAGAACCUCGGACGGCACAUAGCUGGCGUCGAUCCUUGGACAGUCCAGGUGGAGGCGCGCGCUGAAAGAAGAGUUCUUCUGUCUUCAACUGCGUCACUGGAACCGCUGAAAUGAAAAUUUCUAUACUAC